rnacentral:rRNA from 1 species
GGGUCAGUAGGUUGGUCGUGCCACCGGUACGUACUGGUCUCACUGAUUCCUCCCUCCUGAAGAACCGUAAUGCCAUUAAUUUGGUGUUGCGGGGAAACAGGACUGUUACUUUGAAAAAAUUAGAGUGUUUAAAGCAAGCUAACGCUUGAAUACAUUAGCAUGGAAUAAUGAAAUAGGGCGAUCGAUCCUAUUUUGUUGGUUUCUAGGAUUGACGUA